GGCGGACGGCUGAGUAACGCGUAGGAACGUACCCCAAAGUGAGGGAUAAGCACCAGAAAUGGUGUCUAAUACCGCAUGUGCUCCACGGAGUAAAGCUUUAUGCGCUUUGGGAACGGCCUGCGUCUGAUUAGCUUGAUGGUGAGGUAAAAGCUCACCAUGGCGACGAUCAGUAGCUGGUCUGAGAGGAUGAUCAGCCAGACUGGGACUGAGAACGGCCCAGACUCCUACGGGAGGCAGCAGUAGGGAAUUUUCCACAAUGGGCGAAAGCCUGAUGGAGCAACGCCGCGUGCAGGAUGAAGGCCUUUGGGUCGUAAACUGCUUUUCUCUGUGACGAAUAUGACGGUAGCAGAGGAAUAAGGAUCGGCUAACUCCGUGCCAGCAGCCGCGGUCAUACGGAGGAUCCAAGCGUUAUCCGGAAUUACUGGGCGUAAAGAGUUGCGUAGGUGGCAUAGUAAGUUGGUGGUGAAAGCGUGAGGCUCAACCUCAUAUCCAUCACUAAAACUGCUAAGCUAGAGGACGAGAGAGGUAGAUGGAAUUCCCUGUGUAGGAGUGAAAUCCGUAGAUAUAGGGAGGAACACCGAUGGCGUACGCAGUCUACUGGCUCGUUUCUGACACUAAAGGCACGAAAGCGUGGGGAGCAAACAGGAUUAGAUACCCUGGUAGUCCACGCCGUAAACUAUGGAUGCUAGCUGUAAGAGGUAUCGACCCCUCUUGUAGCGAAGCUAACGCGUUUAGCAUCCCGCCUGUGGGAGUACGGUCGCAAGACUAAAACAUAAAGGAAUUGACGG
rnacentral:rRNA from 1 species